rnacentral:lncRNA from 1 species
UAUUAUCCAUGAAUUAAAGCAAUGAACAUAAAGUAUUUUGUUUGUGAAGAAGAAUCACAGUAGAUGCGACAUCUUUUUUUUUGGCUUUAUGUUGUUACCUAUUGAACAGAGACCAUUGCUAUUGCUUCCGACGCAGGCGCCAAGGACGGAAGAGGCUAAGCGGGUCGGAGUGAUGGGGUAGACUGGGCGGGUCGACGAAACCGGCGGCGCAGAAAGAAGAGAGGAGAUGAGGGAGACUGGGAGACGAGGGGUUGGGAAAAUCGGCGAGGGCGGGGGCACCGAGAGGCCGGAGACGAGAGAUAGAGUAUGUGUGAAAGAGAUAGAGAGCAGCUGUGUAGCAGAGAGAG